rnacentral:ncRNA from 1 species
UAUUUUAUUUUGGUAAAUUAUUUUAUUUUAUAAAUAUUUUACAUGAAAAUUAAGUUUGGAAUAAUUUUUAUUUUUAAUAAAUAAAAUUUUAAUAUUUAUUUUCAGUAAAUAAAAUUAAAAAAUAAAGAAAUUUAGAUUUAGUAAUUUAUUUUAAUUUUAGUAAAAUUUGUGCCAGCAACUGCGGUUAUACAAAUAAAGUAAAUAAAAGAUUUUUAUUAAUAUAAAAUAGAAAAAUAUUUAUAAAUAAAAAUUUUAAUUAUUAAGUGAAAUUUUAAUUUUAAAAUAAUUUAUAAGUUUAUUUAUUUUUAUAACAAAAGUUUUUUAAAAACUAGGAUUAGAUACCCUAUUAUUAAAUUAGUAAAUUUAAAAUAAUAGAAUAUUAAUAGAUUAUAUUCUUAUAAACUUAAAAAAUUUGGCGGUAUUUUAUUUUUUCAGAGGAAUUUGUUCUAUAAUUGAUAAUCCCCGUUAAAGAUUACUUAAUUUAAUUUAAUUUAUAUACCGUUGUUAUUGAAUAUGUUAUAAAAUUUAAUUUUCAAAAAAUUUUAUUUAAAUUUAAUGUCAAAUCAAGGUAUAGUUUAUAGUUAAGUAGAAAUGAAUUACAAUAAAUUUAUUUAUUAUGAAUAAAUAUUUUGAUAAUGUUUUGAAAGUGGAUUUGUUAGUAAAUUAAUUAAUAAAAUUUAAUUGAUUAUAACUCUAAAAUAUGCACAUAUUGCCCGUCACUCUCAUUAUAAAAUGAGAUAAGUCGUAACAAAGUAAAAGUAUUGGAAAAUGCUUUUAGAAUUU